rnacentral:rRNA from 1 species
AGAGUUUGAUCAUGGCUCAGGACGAACGCUGGCGGCGUGCCUAACACAUGCAAGUCGAGCGGACGGUUGCGAGGUUGUAGAGAUACAAAGGAGUGACUGUUAGCGGCGAACGGGUGAGUAACACGUGGACAAUCUGCCCUUCGGGUCGGGAUAACAGACCGAAAGGCCUGCUAAUACCGAAUGAGGCGGCGACCUCGCAUGGGGAUGCCGUCAAAGGGGAAACCCGCCGGGGGAGGAGUCCGCGUCCCAUUAGCUAGUUGGUGAUGUAACGGACCACCAAGGCGAUGAUGGGUAGCCGGCCUGAGAGGGUGAACGGCCACAUUGGGACUGAGACACGGCCCAGACUCCUACGGGGGGCAGCAGUGAGGGAUUUUCGGCAAUGGGCGAAAGCCUGACCGAGCGACGCCGCGUGAGCGAAGAAGGCCUUCGGGUCGUAAAGCUCUGUCUAGGGGGAAGAGGAAGGACGGUACCCCUGGAGGAAGCCACGGCUAACUACGUGCCAGCAGCCGCGGUAAUACGUAGGUGGCGAGCGUUGUCCGGAAUUACUGGGCGUAAAGGGCGCGCAGGCGGUCUGUUAAGUCCGGGGUGAAAUCCUUCGGCUCAACUGGAGGGGGACCUUGGAUACUGGCAGGCUGGAGUGCGGGAGAGGGAAACGGAAUUCCACGUGUAACGGUGAAAUGUAUAGAUAUGUGGAGGAACACCGGUGGCGAAAGCGGCUUCCUGGACCGUAACUGACGCUGAGGCGCGAAAGCUGGGGGAGCGAACAGGAUUAGAUACCCUGGUAGUCCCAGCCGUAAACUAUGAACACUACGUGUGGUGGGUAUCCACUCCUUCCGUGCCGCAGCUAACGCAAUAAGUGUUCCGCCUGGGGAGUACGGCCGCAAGGUUGAAACUCAAGGGAUUGACGGGGGCCCGC